UCACUGGUGGUCCAGUGUUUAGGACUCCAAGCUUUCAGUGCUGAGGGCCUGGGUUCAAUCCCUGGUCAGGGAA
rnacentral:tRNA from 1 species